UGGAGAGGUGGUCGAGUGGUUUAUGGCUCUGGUCUUGAAAACCAGCGUAGGUGCAAGCCUACCGUCGGUUCGAAUCCGACCCUCUCCGU
rnacentral:tRNA from 2 species